AAGUGACGAAAAAGAAAAAGAAAAAGAAAAUGUAAAAGGGAAAGAAAAUGAAAAUGAAAAUGAAAACGGAAAUGGAGCUUACACAAGAAGCUCAUCUUCACUAAAGAUGCUUGUCUCUGCGUCGAUGGCAGUCUUUGGAAGAGGCUUUUUCACGGCUCUCGCGAAGGAUCGCUGUGCAGGUGCCUUCUUUGAGUAAGAAUUUGGUGCACGUUUAGCAGGAGGUUUUGCAAAUGAAGAGGCAGCAGCAGGGGGUUCUUUCUCAAGUGAAGAGGUCCGGUCCUGAGAUCGCGACUUUGAAGGUGAUUUCUGUACCUUUGAGGGUGAUUUGCCUUUGGCUCUUUUCGUGGGCUUGGUCGCUUUCUUCACUUCAGGCUCUGGAAGAGAUGUUUCUUCGAGCUGC
rnacentral:rRNA from 13 species